rnacentral:hammerhead_ribozyme from 1 species
ACCCAGAUGACGAGUCCCAAAUAGGACGAAGUGCGCAUCCUGGCUGGAU